rnacentral:rRNA from 1 species
UCUCUUCGGAGCAGGAGUGACAGGUGGUGCAUGGUUGUCGUCAGCUCGUGUCGUGAGAUGUUGGGUUAAGUCCCGCAACGAGCGCAACCCUUGUCCUUAGUAGCCAGCACGUAAUGGUGGGCACUCUAGGGAGACUGCCGGAGAUAAUCCGGAGGAAGGUGGGGAUGACGUCAAAUCAUCAUGCCCCUUAUGAUUUGGGCUACACACGUGCUACAAUGGCGUAAACAAAGGGAGGCAGAGCCGCGAGGCCGAGCAUAUCCCAAAAAUAACGUCUCAUUUCGGAUUGUAGUCUGCAACUCGACUACAUGAAGCUGGAAUCGCUAGUAAUCGCGAAUCAUAUUGUCGCGGUGAAUACUUUCCCGGUUCUUGUACACCCCGACCCUGCCCC